rnacentral:lncRNA from 7 species
UACUUUUUCACUUGUAGUAGCAGAUGUUGAGGUCUUGCACGUGAAAUUUCUGCCAGAAGAGAGAUUGAAGUUUUCUUCAGGAGUGUGAUUGCUGGUAGAUUUACAACUUCUCUGGGAAUAACGUUAUCACUCUGGGAUGCAAAAGCUAUCAUUUGAGACUUGCAGUGGAUUAUAAUUUACGACCAGUUUAUCUGAUGUGAGAUUUUGAUGAAGCCAGCAUCUAAUUUCAGGAUUUAUAGCAAGCUGUAGGCACUGUCCUCCCAGUCUCAGCCUACAGUUGUGCUCCUGGAUGAGAUCUCUGGGAAAGCUGGUGUCCUUGGCAUUGCUUGGUAAUGCGUACUGCCUUUUCCAUCACCAUGCUGGGAUCAUGCUGCCCUCCCACAAGACAAGUGAUUUCACCUCUCCAGUCAGACAGAGCUGAUGGUCCAGUUGCCAGCUAGCCACUGUACUGGUGGGAAGGAGUAUUUCUACCCAGCUUGAAGGUGAGAGAUAAUUUACCACCUUCCCUGAAUAACAGCCUUCAGUCCAUCUGCUGGUCAGUUUUCUUGGAAAUGUAAUCACCUGCUCAUACAUGUUGGCACUGUCAGUUGAUUGAGCUGCUGUUCUCCCUUUUCUACUUGUGGCACUGUACAGCUCUGAUGAUGGGCCCUGGGGUGAGCAGCUGGGAAACGACACUGCUGCUGUGGGAAGUCCUCUAGGGCAGCUGUAUGCAUUGCACACUUUGCCUCAUUUUGCAAAAAUGUGAUGAGAAAAUGUCAAAGAUUUAUAGAAACUUGAUGUAUUGCAAAAGCAUGGCACUUGUCCCUUUGAGGUCUUAAUGUUUAAAAGCAGUUAAAUAAUACACAUAGGUUUCUUAGCUGGGGAGAAACUAAGGGGUGGUCAGUUAUGAGGCAGAGAGCUGAAAGGGGUAACCUGACUGUAGAGAGGCACAGCCAUGGCUUUGGUUAUGAUAUUUUGCAAUUGUCCUGGUUAUUCCUGGAAACUGUAUUUAUCUAUCAGUGCUUCGUCAUACAGCCUAUGUGCAGUCUGCCUCUCACAGAGAGGCUCGUAUUCAAUAGUGCUUGCUGACAGAGUUUGAAAGCUUGUCUUUUCAGACUUUUCUUGUCGAGCUUUUUUUUUUUCAACUAUUCAGGACAGUACCUUCUCCUCUGGUGUGUGUCUUUAUAAAUGGUGCAUGUCUGCCAGUGGUCACGAGCUGUAGACUUUGUGAAAUAGCAGUCUCCAUGCUGGUUAUUUCAAGUUGACGUUUAGCUCAAAAAUAGACUGAAAAAAAUCCUUAAAAGAAGAAAUCUAACGGUUGUCUGGUGGCCUGGGCUCAGCAGAACAGGACGGAGGAUCUCUUCCUUGGAGAUUGUCCAUUAAGAGCAUUCAGCCUUGAUUUUGUUGUUUUCUUGAGUUUAGUUAUGUUUCUGGUCAAUUUUCUGAGUCUUUAGAAUAUCUUAGGAGAGUGAUUUAGGGUUAUUACAACUAUUUAUGUAUCAGAAAAUUUUGGAUUAUCUAUUUUAUUGUGGCUAAAUUAGUUUCUUUGCUGUCUAACUGUGUUAUCUGCAUAAAUAACUUCACUGCAAAUCCUCAGUUGCAGCAAUCCUUCAUUUUGGCACCAACUUUAAUAUCAUUGUUUAUUUUUAUCUAUCGUGUUCCAUGUGAGAUUAAGGAAAGGUUUAUUUUUUUUUUAUUAAAUGGCAACAGUCAUUGCUGAUGGAUGAUAAUUUACAACGGUAUUACCAAUAAAAAAGAAAGAAAC